rnacentral:rRNA from 1 species
ACGAACGCUGGCGGCGUGCUUAACACAUGCAAGUCGCACGGAAAGGCCCUGCUUUUGUGGGGUGCUCGAGUAGCGAACGGGUGAGUAACACGUGAGUAACCUGCCCUUGACUUUGGGAUAACUUCAGGAAACUGGGGCUAAUACCGGAUAGGAGCUCCUGCUGCAUGGUGGGGGUUGGAAAGUUUCGGCGGUUGGGGAUGGACUCGCGGCUUAUCAGCUUGUUGGUGGGGUAGUGGCUUACCAAGGCUUUGACGGGUAGCCGGCCUGAGAGGGUGACCGGCCACAUUGGGACUGAGAUACGGCCCAGACUCCUACGGGAGGCAGCAGUGGGGAAUAUUGCACAAUGGGCGGAAGCCUGAUGCAGCAACGCCGCGUGCGGGAUGACGGCCUUCGGGUUGUAAACCGCUUUCGCCUGUGACGAAGCGUGAGUGACGGUAAUGGGUAAAGAAGCACCGGCUAACUACGUG